UUGAAUCACCUGUUCACGUACGACCACUGAAGUUAAGCAACAUCGAACCUGGUCAGUAACUAGAUGGGUGACCACUUGGGAAUACCUG